ACUUGGUGUGGUUGUUGCUGGCCCUC
rnacentral:rRNA from 1 species